ensembl:lncRNA
UGCAAGUCCUGGACGUGGACACUGGUGGUGGGAUGGAGGAUUGAUGGUGCACGGAGCAGCUUGGAUCCAUGGCUUCACACCAGCACUUGGUCCUUUACACUCUUCCUUAGCCAUAAAGUAAGCACUGCAGAGGCACUGAAUGUUGUGUUUUUCAUUGCCAGCCUCACUGCCUGAGCCAACGUAGCUUUGCCUUGGGGCUGAUGUGGAUGUUGUGGGGCUGCCACUGUGGUGCUGGAAGUCAACGCUGGGCCACAGCGCACGCAUGGGAGAGCUUCAGAAAGGAUACCUUCGCCCUCUUCUUAUCUACAUGAGCCAACCCUGAACUGCUUCCCUCUUUGCUGCACGUUUGUGUUCUGGCAGAUCAGGAUGGUUUUGUGGCACUUGCACACACUUGUGCCAGCACCAGACACCAGGGCAGAGCUGCAGGCAGGGGCAGCAGGAGAAGGAACUGCCUG